UUUUCUCACUAGGAAGUGAAGCACAUGACCAGGCGCAGUUGAUGUCAGAGUUUCAUACUGUGCAAAGUUCAGUCAACCAGAUUGGGAGGCAUGUCUCAGCCGGCCACUCACUGAGUGCUGUGACAUGUGAAGCCAGAGGAAAACCUUCUGUCCAGCCAUAGGUCUACGUACACAAACCUUAGCAAACACUUGAGAUGCCACCCACCAAACAACAGGAGCCAGUUGGAGAAAUGGACAGAAUCAAUAAGGAGAACGGGGAACUUAGUGCGUCAGGGGAGAGUUCAGAGAGCAUAGAAGUGAAAACGACACUAAUCCAAAGUGAGACAAAUGGGGACCUGAAAGCACAUGAGGAUCCAGUGGUGCUUCUGAAAGAUCAACUAACUCAGCUGGGUACUAUAAGCCAGCGGACACCAGAACAAAGAGACCAAGAGCUUACCCAACUUCUGCUUCUGUUCAUCCAGGUCUCAGAGAGCAGCAGUGUCCUUGAUGAUCUGGAUCUCCAGGGCUUGGCGCUGCAGGUUGGAGAAGCUCUUGUCUGUCACAUACAGCAGAGAGUGGCAGAAAAGCCUGCAGGUACCCAAAAAUAACAUUUGCAAA
rnacentral:lncRNA from 1 species